rnacentral:rRNA from 1 species
CCCUUAGAUGUUCUGGGCCGCACGCGCGCUACACUGAUGCAUUCAACGAGCCUAUCCUUGACCGACAGGUCCGGGUAAUCUUUGAAUCUGCAUCGUGACGGGGAUAGAUUAUUGCAAUUAUUAAUCUUCAACGAGGAAUGCCUAGUAGGCGCAAGUCAUCAGCUUGCGUCGAUUACGUCCCUGCCCUUUGUACACACCGCCCGUCGCUCCUACCGAUUGGGUGUGCUGGUGAAAUGUUCGGAUCGGCCGUUUGUCGCGGUUUCCGCGGCUCGUGGCUGGGAAGUUCAUUAAACCCUCCCACCUAGAGGAAGGAGAAGUCGUAACA